UGGGGAAUAUUGCGCAAUGGGCGGAAGCCUGACGCAGCGACGCCGCGUGGGGGAUGACGGCCUUCGGGUUGUAAACCUCUUUCAGCAGGGACGAAGCGAAAGUGACGGUACCUACUAAAGAAGCACCGGCCAACUACGUGCCAGCAGCCGCGGUAAUACGUAGGGUGUGAGCGUUGUCCGGAAUUAUUGGGCGUAAAGGGCUCGUAGGCGGUUUGUCGCGUCGGGAGUGAAAACCAGGUGCUUAACACCUGGCUUGCUUUCGAUACGGGCAGACUAGAGGUAUGCAGGGGAGAACGGAAUUCCUGGUGUAGCGGUGAAAUGCGCAGAUAUCAGGAGGAACACCGGUGGCGAAGGCGGUUCUCUGGGCAUUAACUGACGCUGAGGAGCGAAAGCAUGGGGAGCGAACAGGAUUAGAUACC
rnacentral:rRNA from 1 species